GAUGAAGAACGUAGCGAAAUGCGAUAAGUAAUGUGAAUUGCAGAAUUCAGUGAAUCAUCGAAUCUUUGAACGCACAUUGCGCCCGCCAGUAUUCUGGCGGGCAUGCCUGUUCGAGCGUCAUUUCAACCAUCAAGCCCCCGGCUUGUGUUGGGGACCUGCGGCUGCCGCAGGCCCUGAAAACCAGUGGCGGGCUCGCUAGUCACUCCGAGCGUAGUAGUUACAUCUCGCUCAGGGCGUGCUGCGGGUUCCGGCCGUUAAAAGCCUUAUUUACCCAAGGUUGACCUCGGAUCAGGUAGGAAGACCCGCUGAACUUAAGCAUAUCAAUAAGCGGAGA
rnacentral:misc_RNA from 1 species